rnacentral:rRNA from 1 species
AUGAUUGCCCAUGUGUUUCAGGCUCCAGCAGCCAUGCAUGGUAAAACCUGCCAGAUCUUUUGUUCAACCCCAGUGGCAUCCACGUCGGAUUAUGCUGUCGCCCCAGUGCAAAGCCGAAUCUAUUUUUUCAAAUCUCCCUGUCAUACGCCGCUGAAAGCCGAAAGUUUUCAACUUUCAACUUUCAACUUUGAGCAGCGGCACAAGUACAGAAAUAUCAGCCCAACAAUCCAAGGAAGACAGUGGGCGGAGCAAAGGGGAAAAAAGCUUCUUUCUUCCUUCCUUCACCCUGGCCCGCCGGCCCCGCUCGUCGCCUCCCUCGGCUCGGCCCUAUCCACCCACCCGUCGACGGAGGACGGACGGUCUCCUUAA